AGCUGGGCGGGCGGCUCCGGAGUCCCGCGGAUGGCUUCGGCUUCGCGCAGCCCCGGCCCUUCCUCGGCGCCCAGGUUCUGUCGGCGAGCUUGGGUGUUUCCGCGGAGAGCUGGGCCCGUGCUCUUGCUGAGCUCUCAGGCCUGGGCAGGCCUUGGGACCGGCCAAGGGCUGCUUGUUGGGCCCUCCUGGGGUCUCCCACUUCUUUUUCUGCCCGAAAAAGAGCAAAAAAACCAACUUUAACAAAUAUUCCGGGAUGCUCAGGGCUUUUACGUGCUCCUCAGCCUCCUCUCCAGCCACGGCACAAAGCAGCUCUGUUUCUCCAUGUUUUUAGCAGUGGCCGGUUCCUGCCAGGGCUUCCAGGGGCCAGAGGUGUCAAUCCUUGUGGAAGUGCUGGGCAUAGGAUGGCCUGGAGGAGCUAUUGGUGUGGAUGACACUGAGAUCACGGAGCACAGCACUGGGAGCACUGCAGAGGGAUGGACUUUGGUGCUUUUGAUUAUGCUGUUGAAUUAAUGAGCCUCAAAUUGGGACAGUUCAUCUCACUGGCCUGGCACACAGAUCAUUGUUGCUCAGGAAGACCACAAGACUCAGAAAAAAAAUAAUGAAAAAACCUGUCUGUGCACAGCAAUUGUCUGAAGCAUUGGGAAACACACAGGGAAAACCUCCUGGAAGAAUAUGGGAGAGCAUCUGUGAGUCCUGCAAGGAGGGUUACAACCUCCCAAGGCCAGUGGUGGAGGCAAGAGCACCCGCGUUUGGCUGAAAUCACGGAGAUAAACACAGUGAAAGAGCCCCGCAGUGGAAUCAAGAGCAGACAAGAGGGGAUUGCGAAAAUCUGUCACUUGAAAAGAGUUGAAGAGAUCUGAAGCUAAUAUGCAGAACCCCGUGCUUGCAGAGAGGUGCCUGGGGUUUGAGGUGGGAAUCCUGCUGUGGGACAUGUCUGAGUCCUUCCCAUGGAGAGUCCCAGAGGAACUCCCUAGGCCUCUGCAUACAACCCCUGUCUCUUAGGAUUCAGGAUGGACCUGCAGACCCCAGAGAGCAUGCUGCAUUGCAGCCAGUUUGGUUCCUACCCACGGAGAGCUGUCUUUGGGACAUCUUUUGGCAAUGACUCACUGUUAAGGAAGAGGCAGCAUGCAAGUCACCUGUUCCACAAAGUGUCCCACUCACAGAGGUCACGUGGCACCGGGCUCCUGUCCCAUGACACAUUCUGGGUGCAAUAACUGCAUGACAUGGCCACCUUUGCCACAAAACGCCUGGAUGCAGAGCUCAUGUGGCUGGUCCACCCCAUCGCACAAUACCCUGUGCAGAGAGGAGCAGUGGCACCAACUCUGGGUCCUGCUGAGUGUCCCAAGCAUUGCCAGCCAUCGGCCUGUCCUGCCUGUCCUCAUGGCUUCAAAGGCACUAAUGGCAUGAGCUGACAGCUCUCAGGCUCUCUAGAUGUUCACUGUGAAGACUUCAGUGCUUGGUAACAGCUCACAGAACUUGCUGCUUUGGUAACACACUCCUCAUGCAAAACCUCGAUCCCUGAACAAAGGCCUGUGCAGUUCUGUGCUGGCUGUUCACCUCUCUCUGUACCUAUUUUUAUGCCAUUCCUACGGUUUAAAAAGCCUUUCAGAAAUGUCUGUGUUUAGAAGGACACGGAUCUGACAAAGUAACUGACUCACUCUGGCCUCAGGGAAGUUACUUCACUCUCUGGAUCAUCUUCUCCACUUGAGUAUGAGAACAAUCAUAUGAAAUUACCUGGCAUACCUUCAACACAGCUGUAAAAAAGUAAUUAGCUGGUAUUUAGGACUGGCUGUAAAAGUGGGAAGGUGCUGGUGGUGGUGGUGUUGGAGAACCUCUGUAGCUGGGGACGCAGGACAGCUGUGAGACCUGCAAGAGGCUCAGGUGAUUGUCACUAUUUGUGUGACAGCUCGUGGGUUUAUGGUUAUAAAUAGUUUGUGGAUGCCUCUCUGGCCCUGAGCACAGUCUGGCACAUGAAAACACCCCUUCCUCUGUGACACUUGACUCUUCCAUGGGCUUUGGUUUCCACCAGUCUAGGCCCAGAUAAAUACAGUAAGCUCAAGGCUGUGUGGUGCCCAGCUUACACCAUGACCAGCAGCAUGGGGUUGUUUCUUCCUGCCUGUCUUGCCAAGGCCAGCAUAGAUACUUGUCCAAGGGUGUCCCCUGUGCUCAGCAUGUUGUCCACAGCCUCUGCAGGAGGUUAACUCAAAGGCAGAGCAGGUGUUUGGACCUUCUCAUCUCAGGGAGUGAGCUGGCAUCUAAGGGAAGAUGCCAGCAUUGCCACCUCCCAGUAUCAAAGAGAUGACAACUCUGCAGUAGUCUUGUGGCUGUUGCUAUUGAACAGAGGGAAGCUGUCAAAAUAGUCCAAAGCCACUUUUUCAUGUGUCUCUUGUGUCUGGUGUGAGGGGACUUGGCACAAUCAGGCUUUGCAGCGCUGGAGGUCGGCCCCACCCUCCCUGUGGGGCUCAGGCUUCCAUGGCUUUAGACCCUGUACUGGUGCUUUGUCUUUAAGAUGUUCAUCCUCCAGCAGAUGCAUUUUCUCAGUGAGCACAGACGUAAUCCCUGCACUGUGUUCAAUGUCCUCUGCACCGCAGAUUGGAGAUCUGCCAUGAGACAACGUGAUUGCAGUUGCUUCCUACAGUUGGUAUCUGGUGAUCGAGUCUUGUCCAGAGCUACCUUUUCAUUUUCAUGUGAUGCUGCUCUAUGACUUGGAAACUAUCAGAGGAUUGCAAAGGUGAAAGCAUUAGUAGAUUACCAGAGCAGUAUUUGUACUGCAGGGAGGGAUUAGGGGACAGGGCAGGCAAAAGACUAGGCCUGUGCUCUUUCAAGUGGAAAUGCAUUGGUGACCAUGCAAUAGCAGAUUUCUAAUGAACAAAAUGCCAGCAGAAGCAAGGGGAAUCUGCUUUAGACAAGAUAAAUCAAAGAAUGACAAAGCUUGGAGUACCAAAGCAACAUUUUGUGUGUUUGCUGCAUUUAAGUUCCCUUUUUUAAUUUUCAUAUGUUGGAUCAUUAUAAUGACAGUUUGAGGAAGCUGGUCUGGAAGGCCAAAGGUGACAAGGGAAAGCAUUGCACAGCCAGCUGAGAGAAGACAGCUACACACAGGGAGCUCUGGACAGUCAGUUUUCACUGAGGCACAGCCACUGUAGGCUGGUGCUACACCUUUCUGGGCACAGAGGCAAAGAAGGGUCCCAGGGACUGCAGGACUCUGAAGAGCAGAAAUGUGCUGGACAAGUACCACGGGAAUAAGGGGACCUCUCUUUUAAUGUCACAGAUGGCCGGGGGUGGGGGUAGCUGUGUGUCCACAGGAGAGGGGGAAUACAUUAAGCACUGUGGGGAAUGUCAGAUGCUCUCAGCUCACAUCAAGGAUCUGUAGGUGCCACAGCUGAGGUGAUGUCCUCCCUGGGCCUCUCUGCAGGUGUUUUUGUACUGCUGUUCACUCCGUCAUCUCACAGAUGAGAAGGGAAAGGGAGAGGCCCUUUUGGUCCAAGGACAAAAGCAAAGAGGUGGGUGAGACAUAUAAUGUUUUAUUGUCUCUAAUUGGAUCAGGAAGAUUAGUAAAUAGAGAUUAGGUGACACAAAAGGAAGAAAAUCAAAGCAGGAGACAUUCUCACUUCCUGGUUUAGAGGAAUGAGUGCAUGAAAUAGGUUGAGGUUUCUGCACCAGUAAAUGUCUAAAGACCUGUUAUUAUAACCUCAGAGAUCCACUUAGCUGUGUGAAGGCCACUCAAGGAUAGAGAAUGGAUUUCUUCAGAGCAGUGUUACUGAUUGGGAACGAUUGGCAUUGGGUUUCAAACUGAUCGGUUUUUAUGGGUUUUCAUUGGGUUUUGACAUUCUACAGUUUCCUUCAGAGGCUGCUAAAACUCAGUGUGCUGAGCUGCUCACUGCAGCACGCUCCGGUGUCCCGCAGGACACGUGUUUAUUUUGAUUUGGGGGGUGGGGCAUGUCAAGAGCCGCAACUCAAUACUUCCAUUUGCCAGCUCGUUACCACCAUUCUUCUACUUUCACUCUGCCUCUGUGAAUGUAGCUCCCAUCCUGGAUAGCAGGGACCUGUCUGCUGCCACUGGUCCUCUGGAGUGCCAGGAUCUGUCUGUUCUUACAGGCAAGCAGGAUGUCGCCUCAUCAGCUUAAGAAAAUGCUGUGUUCCCACAGAGGGUUGGAAAACAGCUGUUGGUCACGUCAAGAGCAAGCGGCACAGGAACUUGAUGUGAAGUUCUGCAUAACAAAAGUCUGUAAUAGGUGGUGCCAGGAUUGCUUUGCAGUACAGGAGGAAAUUUCACUCGCAGAUUUUGUUUGCUUUUCAUAUUGUGUAAAAAGCAAAUAAAAAAAGGGAAACUUUUAAGAGAAGAGAGCUGAGGAACACGCAGUAAUUUGCCAUUAAUGUCUGCCCAUAGCAGCCCAGCAUGUGGGUCUCCUGUUAAAGGCAAUUGGCUGGGACACGCCAGUGCUCUGCUCCACCAGCUGCUGAUGUGCUGAGGGCUUUUCCUCUUUUGUCCAGUUUGCAUUUUAACUGGUACCAGGUUUUUCUGCAGCUCUUUGCAUCCAAUGGGGCACCCUAAAAGCACUAGUAAACUGCUGCUACAAGUUCCUUCUCUGGAGUCUGGAGCAUCUCUCUUACGAGGAGAGACAGUGGGAGCUGGGCCUGUUUAGUCUGAAGAAGAGAAGACUGAGAGGGGAUCUCUAAUCCAUACAAAUAUCUCAAAGAUAGGUGCCAAAAAGAUGGUGCCAGACUCUUCAGUGGUGCCCAGCGACAAGAUGAGGAGCGAAGGCCAUAAACUAAACCACAAGAAGUUCCUCCUCAACAUGAGGGAGAAUUUCUUCAUGUUGAGGGUGGCAGAGCACUGGAACAGCUGCCCAGGGAGGAUAUGGAGUCUCAGCAGACUCUCAAAUCCCACCUGGACGUGUUCCUGUGUCACCUGCUCUGGGUGACCCAGCCUGGAGCUGGGCUGCAUGAUCUCCAGAGAUCCCUUUCAACCCCAGCAGGUCUGUGAUUGUGUGAUUUUCUUUUUAAUGUUGCUGGAAGUAGCCUCGGUCCUUUAUUGUUUUUCAUUAGCUUUAAAAAUACUUUUUUUCUCCCUGGUUGCUUUCCUGAGGUCAUGAGCUAACUAACCCACAGCAGUCACAUGACUUGGAUGACCACAGAAGAAUAUUCAAGAAUGCCGAGUAACAAAAUGAACUUGCUGUCAACAGAGAGUAGAAAAUACGGAUUUCUCUUGUAUCACUAGGAUAAUUGUUACCCCAUGGAAUAUGGUCCAGAGACUUCAAAGGGUCCCAUUUUACUUGCCUGCACUAUUGAUCUUGGUGCUGGCAACUGCCAGGUUAAUCAAUCUGAAUAUAUAUUCAACUGGCAUCUUGUAUCUUCUUUCCUGACAAGUGCUGUUGCUACUACCCCACUUUCGAUUACAGCU